AACGUAGGAGACAAACGUUAUCCGGAGUUACUGGGCGUAAAGGGCGUGUAGGUGGUUUUGUAAGUCUGGCGUGAAAUUUUUCGGCUUAACCGGGAAAGGUCGUCGGAUACUGCAAGGCUAGAGGACGGUAGAGGCGUGUGGAACUCCGGGUGUAGUGGUGAAAUGCGUAGAGAUCCGGAGGAACACCAGUGGCGAAGGCGACACGCUGGGCCGUACCUGACACUGAUGCGCGACAGCAUGGGGAGCAAACGAGG
rnacentral:rRNA from 1 species